rnacentral:lncRNA from 1 species
UGAAAAUGAAUAAACCUUCCAUGGCUUUUUAAAGUUUCGGCACUUCCAUAGCAAAAUUAAGGUAUGUUUUGGUUUCGGUUUUUGAUAAUUUUUAUAUUUUUGAGAUCGUUGCUUUGUGUACUACAAGACCCAUACUUUAAUUUUAGAAUUUGAUGGUGAUUUUGAGAUAUGCCAUUAAUGAAUGCUUGAGCUUUGUGAUAGUUGAUGAUGAAAUAUGAAAGAUAUGUAAAGGAUUAACAUGUUUUGUCUUUGAAUGUUUAGUGAAAUUGAGUAAUUAGGGUUAAAAUUGUGAAAAUAAAUUUUUGAGGGACUAAAAUGUGAAAUAAAUGAAAUGUGUGGACUUUUAUGAAGCCUAUGAAUAUUUGGCCCUAGCAUAGUGUGGGCAAAUUUGGUGUAUUUCGUGUUUUGUGCAAAACGGACUAAAUUGUAAAAAGUGUAAAAUGUCAGGGCAAAAUGAUAAUUUGCCCAUUUAUGCAUUUUUGGAUUUAAUUGAAUGUUUUGAUGAAUAAAAAGGUUAAAUUGGAAUAUGUUUAGAUCAAGAACGAAGAAAACGGAAUUGCAUCGGGGGAAAACGAAAGUAGUCGAGUAAUCGAUCGUGUCCGCCGAUAUCCGAGGUAAGUCAAUUAGCAAGUAAAUGUUAUCUAAAUUGAAUAUAUAUAUACAUUUUUUUUACCACACAUAUGAUAAGUUAGAACUUAAAAUGUAUAAAUUAAAUAAAACCUUGUAAUUUACCUAUAUAUUAUAGCCGAAUAUAAGAAUUAAUAUUAAUAAGUUGAUGUUAAUGAUUUACGUUUCAUGUAUGUUAGCUAAAUAUGCUAUAAAUUCAAUGAUUCAAAACAAAUGGUGGAAUAAAUAUACAUAGAUGUGUAAAUUCGAAUGUAAGGCUUAAUUCUUUGGAUUGAAUUUAAGUUAUGAGUUAAAGAUAUGGUUCUAAAGUAUAUUAUAAGUUCUUGUAAUAAAAUUUAAAUACUAUGAAUUACAUAUAUUUUUGUGCGUAUUGUUAGAACAUAGUUAUAUACAUAUAUACAUGUUCUUGAGCUGGAAAAUUAUGAAUUUUAUAGGUAUAAGAGGGUUCGAACAUAGAUUACAAAAACAUUUGUGCUGAAUGUAAUGUUUUUUUUUAGUUAUACCUAUGUGGUCCGAAUGUAAGUUUACUAUGAAGAAUCGAAUAUAAUUCAAUGUUACGGAUAUGCAGUUACUGAGUAAGACUUAUGUAAUUAUAAAUAACUAUAUGAAAGAGCGUCUUUGUAUUUGAGAUUCUCAGGCUUGUGCCUAGUAGGCUUAAUGCCGGUGAAAUAUUCAGACUAUACGUCUAGCAGGCUUAAUGCCGGUGAAAUAUUCAGACUAUACGUCUAGCAGGCUUAAUGCUGGUGAAAUAUUCAGACUAUACAUCUAGCAGGCUUCAUGCCGGUGUACGGAAUCAGGCUUUAAGCCUAGCAGGCUAUGUGCCGGUGAAUUUAUCUAAAACGUGUGUUCAGAAAGUUCUUGUUAAUGUAAUUUUAAAUGUAGUCGGACAUGUGAAUGAAUUAUAUCUGCAGGUAUGUAUUAAUUAAAUGAAUGAAUGGAAAUAAGGUAAGUUGUCUAUUUGGAAUGAAAUAU